GUGUUCGACAAGGAAGUAUCAUUCAACAAGAAGUCAGGGUUUGUGAAAGUAGCGCGACAUGGACAGCUGGAUUCCGAUGCCAAAGAUUGAACUGCAUGCUUCCCUAAUGGUUCAAUCGGGGACUCCACACUGCUGUGAGCUUUCUCGCUAUGUCUUCCUUUUGUUUUCAGUGUGGAUUAACUGGUGAUUUUGAAGUUCCACUCUUGAUGCCCAUAAGGGGAUGAUCUUUUGGUUAGGGUGCUUUAGGUGUGAAGAUUCUGGGCAUGGAUUUAUUUAUUGAGUUUUCAAGGUUAAAUGUUUAUUCUUUUUUUUUUGUUUGUUUAUUCCUUCCUUACAGAGAGCUUGCAGGAGAUUUGGUUUGGGUGCAAGGGGUGUCAUUGUAUUCUCAGAUUAUCUUGAAAAAUGAUGGAACUGUUACAAGAAUUUCCAAAGAAAGAAAUGAUUCGAUUGGAAUGAGCAAACGCUCUUACAUGGAAGCUGUGUGGAAGGACUAAGGGCUGUUGACAUUGAUUUUGUGCCUAACAAUAUUGAUCGAGUCCCUUCAGCCAUGGUGAAGACUCAAUGAAAGCACCAAUUGAUAUGAACCAGCAAUGAUAUUUAUAUUGAGCAAGAGAAUUACAACGCAACCAGAGAAUUCAGAGGGAGAAUAACAGAUAGAAACUCAAAACGUCACACAUUGCCUACCCUCCUCACCCCACUACUAUCUAUUUAUUCUCAUACUAGACUAAUCAUAGCCUUACACAUAGUCCCUAAGUUUGUUAGGCCUCUUUCUUUCUCGCACCAUGUUUCUCCUUGCACACCCUGUGUCAUCAUUCGCAUUUGAAUCUCUCGUAACCAACUCCACGUCAGCAGCACCCACUAUUGUUCCAGCAACGUCGUCCCUAUUAUCCUGCAUAUUCAUGACAAUGCCACUAGCCCCAUGACCUCCUAUAACCAAGAGUAACGCAUGUAAUGGAACCACAAGGAAGAAAAUAUAUGUUAGACUUCUUCUCAGCCUAGACCGCCAUGAGACAACUGCAGCUGCAAUGGACACUGUGUGAGAAAAAUCUGUUAUCCAAUAAUAUUUUUAAGCUCAAUUUAUUGUUUGUUCGAUGAGGCAUUUGAUCUCUCUUCUCCCACUUCUUAUAGGUUAAGCUUGCUCUGGAAAUAAGAAGACUAGUGUUGUUGAAUGGUAUCCCCAGACUCUUAUGAGUUCUUCGCUACAGAUUAAGUUGUAAAAUUAUCCCAAUGUCAUGUUGACAAUGUGCAGGACCACAUUUAUGCCAGCAUUUCAAUUUGCUCGGGAACAGAGUCUUCGUGCAACUCUUCACUGCGUAGAGGUUUACUCAUUCAAUUAGUGUCUUCUACUUUCUUCAAUUUUUUACUUUGUUGUUACUGGAAUGUCCCUUACUAGUUUAUUUUCAUAACUUAGUGCUUGGAGCGGUACCUAAUAGAAAGGAGAUUCAGACCAUGCUGGACUUUCUUCCCCAUAGAAUUUGUCAUGCUAGUUUCUUUGAAGAGGAAGGUUGGAUAAAGUUGAAAUCAUCUAAGAUUCUGUUGAUCUAUAUAAACGCUAAGCAAGUAAGCAUCCUUUAGUUCUAUGCACUGAUGUUUCGGGGGUUCUCUCCACCAGUCUUUUGGAGGAGUACAGUCUUGCUUCUUCUACAUUUGGGUCUUGGCGAGAAGGAAAUGUUUCAGCUAGUGAAAAAUGCAAUCGAGUUCAUAUUUGCUAAUGUUGGAGAGAUUUUUGAUUUAGCUGCAAAGAAAUGGGAUCUCUGAAUGCUUCGUGUGGAGGAACAUUUGCAUCUCUAGAUGCUUGAGCUCAGCCAUAUUUUGCAGUCAUGCUGGAUGUCUGGAGAAGUGCAUGUAGAUAUCUUUGAGAGCAUGAUAAUAUUAUGUUCAAUGACUAAAUCAUUCCAGGGAACUGGUAGCUGAGCCAUUUCCAUCCAGUAGAUGAACACAUGAUGUCAUAUUUCUACCUAUAUCAUCAAGGAUGGAGCACAUUGGCUUUCUUUUCGCUGUGACUUCUUCUUCUUCUUUGUUUUUUUUAAACGUGGAUUUACUUAGCUGUCCAACAGAUAAUUUAUUGAUAAAUCCCGAGUCACAUGAAAGACUUUGCAACCCUCAUGAACCAGUUGAGACAUGGAUUGAGACACAGUGCGGGAAGAUAAUGCAUGAGACAUGGGCCGAGGCACAAUGCGGAAAGAUAAUGCAUGGUGGCAUUGACAUACUGAGCUGAGUAAGGACUCAUAUCGCAAAUUACGAUAAUGGAAAGACCCAUGAUACUUGAACUAACGACCUCCAGCUUUCGCUAAGAGUUAUCGCGAUUAACUUCAUCAUCACAUGGAAUGAUCAGUUGUUGGCUGUGAUCGCUUCAACCUUGGUAACCCUGAAACCAUGAACAACCUUGUGAUGCUCUGAAAGUGUGACC